rnacentral:rRNA from 1 species
UACGUAGGGAGCGAGCGUUGUCCGGAAUCAUUGGGCGUAAAGAGCGCGUAGGUGGAUCAAUUAGUCUGCUGUGAAAGUCAAAGGCUCAACCUUUGAAAGCCGGUGGAUACUGUUGAUCUAGAGUACGGAAGAGGCGAGUGGAAUUCCUGGUGUAGCGGUGGAAUGCGCAGAUAUCAGGAGGAACACCAAUAGCGAAGGCAGCUCGCUGGGACGUAACUGACACUGAGGCGCGAAAGCGUGGGGAGCAAACAGG